rnacentral:misc_RNA from 1 species
UGUUGUCGCCCAAAAAGAUAGCCACUGCACAUAGAACUUGAUCCAUGAAAUUCAAACCGAACAUUCUAAAUUUAUUUGAGAAAGUGAGGACUAAUCAAUCCUGCGACUUCGAGAAAUCCAACUCGGUCCCUACCACCAAAUAUCUUCUUCAGCUUCUCAUCACAAAUUAUGAUCUUCUUGUUAUCAGGGUCCUGCAGAUUGUGCUCCUUGAUAUAGGCCCAAAUGAGCUUAAGCGUUUGGGUGCGAGAGAUCUCCGAUGCACCAACAAACUCAGCCAUUUCCGGAGUAACGCGACGAGGCUUCAUAAUGCCUCGGGGACGCCGCUCCUUCUGCUGCUGUGACGAUACAGUAGCACAGGUGACAGUGCGCAUCACUCGCAGGGUAACAGGACAAGGAGACAGACUGGGAGAAGAGUUGAGAAACGACACCGUUUUAGAGGAGAAGAAAGUGGUGAAAAUCCCAGACGAAAUAGCCAUUGAAGUUGAAAAAUUUUCAGUAGGUAGAGGGUUUUGCGUUAUCCUGAUAUUUUAUGGGUAAAUGAGAAUUGAGAGAAGGAAAGGAAGAGAUAGGGUUUUUUUUUUUUUUUUUUUUUGGAUU